rnacentral:rRNA from 1 species
GUUAGGAAUAUUGCGCAAUGGAGGCAACUCUGACGCAGCCAUGCCGCGUGCAGGAAGAAGGCGCUACGCGUUGUAAACUGCUUUUAACCGGGAAGAAACCCCAGGACGUGUCCUGGGUUGACGGUACCGGAGGAAUAAGCACCGGCUAACUUCGUGCCAGCAGCCGCGGUACUACGAAGGGUGCAAGCGUUAUCCGGAUUCCUUGGGUUUAAAGGGUGCGUAGGCGGAGCGUUAAGUGAGUGGUGAAAUCCUGCAGCGUAACUGUAGACUGGCCAUUGAUACUGGCGCUCUUGAGUGCGCUUGAAGUGGGCGGAAUGUGCCGUGUAGCGGUGAAAUGCUUAGAUAUGGCACAGAACACCAAUUGCGAAGGCAGCUCACUAAGGCGAUACUGACGCUGAGGCACGAAAGCGUGGGGAUCGAACAGGAUUAGAAACCCGGGUAGUCC